ACCUUGAACAUGGCACCCCCGGGGCCCGUCCUCGGGGGACUGUAGUCACCCCAAUUACGUGCGGUGGCGACAUCGACAGUCUGCGGGAAUCUCUCCACCAGCUGGGGACAACCCGCAGCCGGACCUCUCGCGUCCGGCCCACAGACUAAAUGUUGAUGGGUCCGCGCCCCCUGCGGACUUUCGAUAUAGUCGGUCGUCGGGGCAUAUACCCCCUCGAGCAAACGUUCCGUAGGUGAACCUGCGGAAGGAUCAUUA
rnacentral:rRNA from 1 species